rnacentral:rRNA from 1 species
AUGGCGACAAACAUCGUGGAUGUAUUUUCUUCGGGUGAAAACUCAGGAUCUUGCUUUGUUGCUUCAUCAUGCAAUGUCAAUGUUGUUACCUUAUUGAAUUGCCUAUGUUGUUACCUUAUUGAAAGUGUUUCGACCCCUUCAAGGGUGAUAUCCCAUUGGUCCGACACAUCUGUUUGGACCAACCAACAGCCGCGAUUCCUUCUUGAAGUCGUUGUCUUGGAGCUUUGCAUCCUUUUUCUUCUAAUAUAUUGUGGUAGGUUUGGUGGUAUGACAUGGAGAUGCUGUGAGGCAUGUCCCAUGUCCUAUGGGUGGACUCAAUUUUUAUGA